AAAAAAUUAGUUAAAGCUAUAACAUUAAAAUGUCAUUUUAAAAUUAUUAAUUAAUUUAAUAUUUUUUU
rnacentral:tRNA from 1 species